GACGAACGCUGGCGGCGUGCUUAACACAUGCAAGUCGAACGGAAAGGCCCUGCUUUUGUGGGGUGCUCGAGUGGCGAACGGGUGAGUAACACGUGAGUAACCUGCCCUUGACUUUGGGAUAACUUCAGGAAACUGGGGCUAAUACCGGAUAGGAGCUCCUGCUGCAUGGUGGGGGUUGGAAAGUUUCGGCGGUUGGGGAUGGACUCGCGGCUUAUCAGCUUGUUGGUGGGGUAGUGGCUUACCAAGGCUUUGACGGGUAGCCGGCCUGAGAGGGUGACCGGCCACAUUGGGACUGAGAUACGGCCCAGACUCCUACGGGAGGCAGCAGUGGGGAAUAUUGCACAAUGGGCGGAAGCCUGAGGCAGCAACGCCGCGUGCGGGAUGACGGCCUUCGGGCUGUAAACCGCUUUCGCCUGUGACGAAGCGUGAGUGACGGUAAUGGGGAAAGAAGCACCGGCUAACUACGU
rnacentral:rRNA from 1 species